GAGCGUUGGCGCCCUAAUUCUAUUUUCUUUUCCAUUUAAUUUCUCACUCAUUUUUAAUUCAAUUCGCUCCAGAUUUUUUACACAAUCUCUCUAAAAAUAUUUUGCAUCACAUACAUUUUUCUCAAAAAAAAAAAUUUUAAUCAUUUUUAAUUUUUGGUUAUUUUUAUUUCAUUUUAUCUUUAGUUUCCUUUUGUAUUUUAUUUUUUAAAUCAUUUUCAAACAUUUUUGCAUCCAACAUUUGAGAUCUUUUUAUUUGUAAUAUUUUUGACUUCUCAUAAUUUUCUCAACCAUUUCUUUUAUGUUUUGGUGCUUGAUUUGGAUUUUCUCUUUAU
rnacentral:lncRNA from 1 species